rnacentral:rRNA from 1 species
GAUGAACGCUGGCGGCGUGCCUAAUACAUGCAAGUCGAGCGAACGGACGAGAAGCUUGCUUCUCUGAUGUUAGCGGCGGACGGGUGAGUAACACGUGGAUAACCUACCUAUAAGACUGGGAUAAUUUCGGGAAACCGGAGCUAAUACCGGAUAAUAUUUUGAACCGCAUGGUUCAAAAGUGAAAGACGGUCUUGCUGUCACUUAUAGAUGGAUCCGCGCUGCAUUAGCUAGUUGGUAAGGUAACGGCUUACCAAGGCAACGAUGCAUAGCCGACCUGAGAGGGUGAUCGGCCACACUGGAACUGAGACACGGUCCAGACUCCUACGGGAGGCAGCAGUAGGGAAUCUUCCGCAAUGGGCGAAAGCCUGACGGAGCAACGCCGCGUGAGUGAUGAAGGUCUUCGGAUCGUAAAACUCUGUUAUUAGGGAAGAACAUAUGUGUAAGUAACUGUGCACAUCUUGACGGUACCUAAUCAGAAAGCCACGGCUAACUACG